GAGUGUUCAGCUUUGCGGCCAUAGUUUUGCAAAAACUAAUGAGGAUACCUUACUAUAUCCAGCACUUU
rnacentral:tRNA from 1 species